GGCAGUUCUCGGGUGAUGCACCCUGGAAUCGGGCUCCCUCCUCUCUGGUUCUGGGUGCAUCACCUGAAAACCACA
rfam:Myotis brandtii contig168070, whole genome shotgun sequence.